CAACAGAGUGCCUGCUGCAGUAUGACGAGGACACCCUGAGCAGAGAGCUCCAAUAGACCCAGGUCCAGUGUCUUGGCAGGGUGAAAUGGCACUGAUAUGGUGUCCUGCAGGAUGCUGUGUCCUGCAAUCCUGUGUGCUGUGCUACAGACGCAUCUGGAAGCCAACCUGAAAUAAGCACAGUCUCUCCACAGAGGAGUGAAAGAGGCUCCCAGAAGUGAGACUGAGUGCCUGUUGCAGUAUGACGAGGACACAGUGACCAGAGACCUUCAGUAGACCCUUCUGGCAUGAUUGGCGGCUGAAGAACAUGACAUCAACAGCAAUGUUUAUAAUGUUGUACAUACCUGUAUAGUCUGUAUUAAAAGGCAGUACCUGUACUAUUUUUUCCUCUUACUUUCAUAUUUACCACGUAUUUACUAUGAAUUGACAACUUUUACUCAAAUCCAUUUUUGUAUGUGCCCUGACUAAAACUAUCCUUAAACCUAACCUGUCAGAGGUGUAACAACAACCUGCUCUUAGCAGUGUGGCAGCAGUCUACUUGGAUGCAGCGGGGAACAUAGAACCGCAUUGUAUGUUUCUGAGUUUUAUGAAUUGUGCCCUUCCCAAACAUCAUGCAUAGGCUAGGCGUAUCUAUGACACGCUGAUUUGAACCCACUAUCGCGUGUGUCCAAUACGCAUUUUCAAGUUAAGUCGUGCUCCACAACGCCCUGUGACAGGUUCGGUUUAGGGAUGGUUUUGGUUUAGGCACAAUUUAGGUAGAAAUUCGCCUAAUCUCGCUGUUCUUGGCAAAAGUAAAGCAGCAGAAACAUUACUUCACUGACAGGUUAGGUUUAGGGGUGGUUUUGGUUAGGGCACAG